AAACUUUCAACAACGGAUCUCUUGGCUCUGGCAUCGAUGAAGAACGCAGCGAAAUGCGAUACGUAAUGUGAAUUGCAGAAUCCAGUGAAUCAUCGAAUCUUUGAACGCACAUUGCGCCCGCCAGCAUUCUGGCGGGCAUGCCUGUUCGAGCGUCAUU
rnacentral:rRNA from 2 species